AUGCUUGCUUCAACAGCACAUAUGCUAAAAUUGGAAUAAGACAGAGAAAAUUAGCAUGGCCCCUGCACAAGAAUGACGUGCAAAUUCAUGAAGCGUUCCAGGUUUUC
ensembl:snRNA U6 U6 spliceosomal RNA